UUUUUUAUUCAACUUUCCGCAAAACUAAUUUACACCCUAUGAUCGUUUACACGGAAUUUAGAUACUUUCCGAAAAGUUUUGAUUUUCAUUAUCACAUGUGCUUACAUUGCAAAUGAAAGCUUUUAAAAUAGUGUAUAUCAUUUUGAUUUAUAUGUAACACUUUUUGAUAAAUUUUAUUUCAAAGUCGUGUAUCGUUUCUUUUG
rnacentral:lncRNA from 1 species